AUUGAACGCUGGCGGCAGGCCUAACACAUGCAAGUCGAGCGGAUCGGCGGACGGGUGCGUAAUGCUUAGGAAUCUGCCUGUUAGUGGGGGAUAACGUCCGGAAAUGGGCGCUAAUACUGCUUACUAUCAGAUGAGCCUAGGUCGGAUUAGCUAGUUGGUGGGGUAAAGGCCUACCAAGGCGACGAUCCGUAACUGGUCUGAGAGGAGGAUCAGUCACACUGGAACUGAGACACGGUCCAGACUCCUACGGGAGGCAGCAGUGGGGAAUAUUGGACAAUGGGCGAAAGCCUGAUCCAGCCAUGCCGCGUGUAUGAAGAAGGUCUUCGGGUUGUAAAGCACUUUAAGUUGGGAGGCGUUACCAGCAGAAUAAGCACCGGCUAACUUCGUGCCAGCAGCCGCGGUAAUUC
rnacentral:rRNA from 1 species